UCCUGGCUCAGAACUAACGCUAGCGGCGCAUUUUAAGCAUGCAAGUCGAACGGUAAGGCCCGCUUUAUGUGGGUACACGAGUGGCAAACGGGUGCGUAACACGUGACUAACCUGCCUACUGCUUGGGGAUAACUUUCAGAAAUGAGAGCUAAUACCGAAUGAACCCUACGGGGGAAAGAUUUAUCGGCGGUAGAGGGGGUUGCGGCCAAUUAGCUUGUUGGUGGGGUAAAAGCCUACCAAGGCGAUGAUUGGUAGCCGGCUUGAGAGAGUGACCGGCCACAUUGGGACUGAGACACGGCCCAGACUCCUACGGGAGGCAGCAGCUAAGAAUCCUCCACAAUGGGCGCAAGCCUGAUGGAGUGACGCCGCGUGAGUGAUGAAGGCCUUAAUGGGUUGUAAGGCUCUUUUCUUGGGGAAGAAGAGUUUAUGUAGGUAGACUUGACGGUACCCUUGGAAUAAGCCCCGGCUAAUUACGUGCCAGCAGACGCGGUAAUACGUAAGGGGCGAGCGUUGUACGGAAUUAUUGGGCGUAAAGGGUGCGUAGGCGG
rnacentral:rRNA from 1 species